rnacentral:lncRNA from 1 species
GAGGACGAAUCUUCUUGAGGAAUGGGGGAAUGAUACGAAUCCAAGACCCAAUUUCACAUUCAUGGAUGUGAUGAGCUUACACUACCUCAAGGCCCAAGAACAAGGUCAAAUGUUAAACAAAUCAGACCAAGAUUCGAUUAAAGCCAAUAUGUGAUGAUGAAUCUUUUCGAGGAAAUGAGGAAUGAUACAUGCACAGAAUGAGUAAAAUGUAGUCAAUUCAACCAAGCUAUCAAUUUUUAAGCUGAAAAGAUUAGUCAACUUGUGACAAAUUUUUGGAGGGGAUCUAGCCAUUUCUGGAUUAAGAUGUCUUCAUAAUGUUC